CACGCCAGACGCGCCACAUGCAUGCGUCAUUCGCCAGACAUGCCACCGAAGCGAGCGAGGCCGGCUGCGCAUGUGAAGCUCGCCUGCUCGGCGACCCGUCUUUUUUGGAUGUAGCCCGUUCGUUGGACUCACUGCGUUUUCUUGCGUUCCGUCUGCAUUUCUACACGGCACUGCUGCGCUACCGGGCUACAGCAAGCUGAUGGCAUCCGAUGGAGCUUCGUAUGGCAACGACUGCUGCUUACCUGGUGCCACAACUUUGGAUGAAUGCACAAGAAGCCCGGAACGAGCAUUUAUAUAGAGCAAAAUAAACAUGUCGGAAGACAUCUUGCGUUUUCUUUAUGAAAUUGCACGUGACACAGAUUCGGUGGAGGCUUGUAAAGAUCGUUCGCAAUCAUUUUACUAAAUAAUAAAAUGAUUCCGCGGCAAGGCCGCGCGUGGUUCAGCAGUAGAAGCUAAAAAAAAAAAAUAAA